AUUUAAUGGUCAGGGCUAGCUGCAGAAGAUUUGGUGGCUAGGUGACCUUGGAGCUCUUCGAACUGGAAUACCCAUAGGAAAAUGUGAUAUAUAUGUUGCUGCAGCUGAAAUUAAUUCACUCUCUGUGCUGCAAGGUGACCUUGGAGUUCUUGGAACUGGAAUACCAAUAGGAAAACUUGAUAUGUAUGUUGUUGCAGCUGGUAUUAAUUCAGAGUCACUGGGAGAUCAAGCGGAAUACCAAGCAACGCACCAAGUUAUAUUAUCUUUCAUGAUGUAAAACUUAGCUAGGAAACUUGAAAAUUAAAAUGUAUGAAUGUGACAACAAUGUUACUUAAAUUCAGUAUUUGAUAAAUUGAUGUAUCACAAGGCUUUUGGUACAAAUAUUGAUC
rnacentral:lncRNA from 1 species